GGCGGAGCCGGGGCCCGGCCUGAGGCUGAGAUGGGAAGAAGCGGGCCGGUUACAUCUCUUAGCAUCGCUGCUGCUGCUCUUUGCUUUUCUAAAGCGUUACCUUACGUGGGUACUUUGCUCGGGCUGGCUCCCAGCGGCACGGUGAGGCUGUGGUGGGUGACCGGGUGGGGGUUGUCUGUUUCUCACAGCACAAGAUGUGGCAUGAUUGCUUUCUGGCGUCUGCAGUUUGUUGUGAACUACUCUGCAGUCUGCAGCCCAGCCAGAACCGGGAGGGACACCCCACGUUUUGCCUGACGCCUUUUCCUUCCAAGGCUGGAGCUGCCUCAGUCUAGCUGCUGGGCCAGCAAUAGAAGUGUGUUAAAAGGCCGAGUAAACAAAACAGGGAUGAAAACAGAACAACGCUGAUGUCCAAGAAGAGAUACUGCGAU
rnacentral:lncRNA from 1 species